rnacentral:rRNA from 1 species
CCCUUAGAUGUUCGGGGCCGCACGCGCGCUACACUGAAGGAAUCAGCACGUCUUUCUCCUUGUCCGAAAGGACUGGGUAACCCGCUGAACCUCCUUCGUGCUAGGGAUUGGGGCUUGCAAUUCUUCCCCAUGAACGAGGAAUUCCCAGUAAGCGCGAGUCAUAAGCUCGCGUUGAUUACGUCCCUGCCCUUUGUACACACCGCCCGUCGCUACUACCGAUUGGAUGGUUUAGUGAGAUCCUCGGAUUGGUCCCGGCGCGGCCUCUGGUCGUGCCGGAGUGCCGAAAAGAAUGUCGAACUUGAUCAUCUAGAGGAAGUAAAAGUCGUAACA